rnacentral:lncRNA from 10 species
UGUUGGCAGGAGGGUGCUGCUGCAGGGAAGUGCUGCUGCAGGAGGGUGCUGCUGCAGAGGGUUUUGCUAUGCUCUUAGCAUGUCAAAGGAGCAGCAAAGAUGCCAAUGUGUACAGAGGAGGCUGAGUGGUAGGAAAUGGGGUCAGGUAGGUACUAGGGCAGGAUGCUGCAGUCCUUUAGGCCACGCAAAUGUGAAUUCUUUUGUGGGUGAGGCACAAGGCAGGACGGCAUAGAGUGCACUCCAGAGCUAAUCUGUGGAGGUCUUAUCCUGACUCUUCCACAUGGGAGCUGUAAGACCUCAGGAUAGUCAUAUGCCCUCUCUGAUAGGUGGAUGUAUAAUAGCUGUAGGAUGUAGAUCAUGCCACAGCUGGCCUCACAGGAGUGUUGUGAAGACUGACAAUCUGUAAAGCACUAACAUCCUUCGGCACAUAAUAAGUGCGGUAUAAAUAAGUAUUUAACUUUUAUUGUGUGGAAAGCCCCUGGCAAGGUUAAGCUGAAGAGUGCCAGUGACUUAGAUUACUCCUGUGAAGGCUCUCUGUAUGCUCACUGGGGAGAACAGACUGGAAGGAGGCAAGAGGAGAGGUCAGUGAGGAGGCCAGAGAUCAGUGGUGGAGGCCAGAGUGGCAGUGGCUUCGAUGUGGCAGGGAUGGUCAUGAUGGGGCUUCUGGAUGAAUUCCGAAAGCAGAUUUGCCAUGAUUUGCUAAUGGACUGGAUAAAGGGUAUAAGUGAAGGGGAGGAGUAAGCUUGUCUUUCAGAACUGAGCUUGAGUAACUGAGCAAAUGGUGGUGCCAAUUUAUCGAUAUGGGGAGAACGGAGGGAGGAGGAUUUUGCUUGAUUGGUUGGUUUGUUUUGUUUUCUUUUUUUUUUUUUUUUUGUUUCGGUCUGGAGAAGGAUUAAGACAUAUUAAGAGAGGAAAGUUCAAGUUAAAUGAGAAGCUCUCAAAAGUUCAAUUCUGACAAUAUAGUUACAAAGGAUUCCAAAAUGGGAGAAAAGAGGACGGCAUCUGAAGAUGCUUAUGUAGUUAUAGGGUUUGUUAUUUAAUGAGCUCAGAUUAUUCCUUUAAGGCAAAAAGAGAUAAAGUGGCAUGAAACUGUACCCACACAUUGUACCAAUAUCAAUUUCCUGGGUUUGCUAUUGUACUAUAGCUAAGUAAGAUGUUAGAAGAAAGCCAAUAAGCUUUGUUUUUUC